GAGUUUGAUCCUGGCUCAGAUUGAACGCUGGCGGCAGGCCUAACACAUGCAAGUCGAGCGGAAACGAGUUAACUGAACCUUCGGGGAACGUUAACGGCGUCGAGCGGCGGACGGGUGAGUAAUGCCUGGGAAAUUGCCCUGAUGUGGGGGAUAACCAUUGGAAACGAUGGCUAAUACCGCAUAAUAGCUUCGGCUCAAAGAGGGGGACCUUCGGGCCUCUCGCGUCAGGAUAUGCCCAGGUGGGAUUAGCUAGUUGGUGAGGUAAUGGCUCACCAAGGCGACGAUCCCUAGCUGGUCUGAGAGGAUGAUCAGCCACACUGGAACUGAGACACGGUCCAGACUCCUACGGGAGGCAGCAGUGGGGAAUAUUGCACAAUGGGCGCAAGCCUGAUGCAGCCAUGCCGCGUGUAUGAAGAAGGCCUUCGGGUUGUAAAGUACUUUCAGCAGUGAGGAAGGUGGGUAUGUUAAUAGCAUACUCAUUUGACGUUAGCUGCAGAAGAAGCACCGGCUAACUCCGUGCCAGCAGCCGCGGUAAUACGGAGGGUGCGAGCGUUAAUCGGAAUUACUGGGCGUAAAGCGCAUGCAGGUGGUUUGUUAAGUCAGAUGUGAAAGCCCGGGGCUCAACCCUCGGAANUUGCAUUUGAAACUGGCAAAACUAGAGUACUGUAGAGGGGGGGUAGAAUUUUCANGUGUAGCGGUGAAAAUGCGUAGAGAUCNGAANGAAUUACCGGUGGUUAAUUGCGUNCUCNCUGNNCUUUAU
rnacentral:rRNA from 1 species